rnacentral:misc_RNA from 1 species
GUGCCCAUGAUUUGGUUAUGAAAUAUAAUGACAAAUUGGCACGCAAAUAGAAGUUACCUAUAUUGCAUUGUUAUGUUUUCAAAGAGUCUGGCGUACAAAGACGUUCGCUUUAUAUUAUGCAUGUAUUGUGAACGAAAGGAGAGAAAUGUUCUAAAUUUGAUUUUGGGGAUGGUGGUUGAAAUUUAAUAGAGUGAAAACAUGGAACAGGAUAUCCAAGUUUUAUUUCCUUUAUUCUUUGGUAAUAAAAGCAUUUAACAGUGAAAGGUAAUUACUUUCGUAAAAAUUCC